rnacentral:rRNA from 1 species
GCCUACGGGGGGCAGCAGAGGGGGAUAUUGCACAAUGGAGGAAACUCUGAUGCAGCGACGCCGCGUGAGGGAAGACGGUCUUCGGAUUGUAAACCUCUGUCUUUGGGGAAGAAAAUGACGGUACCCAAAGAGGAAGCUCCGGCUAACUACGUGCCAGCAGCCGCGGUAAUACGUAGGGAGCGAGCGUUGUCCGGAAUUACUGGGUGUAAAGGGAGCGUAGGCGGGGAUGCAAGUUGGGUGUCAAAACUACCGGCUCAACUGGUAGUCGCACUCAAAACUGCAGCUCUUGAGUGAAGUAGAGGCAG